UUUUUAUCUGGGUUGCUAACUCAAUGGUAGAGUACUCGG
rnacentral:tRNA from 1 species